rnacentral:rRNA from 1 species
CGGAUUGGAGUCUGCAACCCGACUCCAUGAAGCUGGAUUCGCUAGUAAUCGCGCAUCAGCCACGGCGCGGUGAAUACGUUCCCGGGCCUUGUACACACCGCCCGUCAAGCCAUGGAAGCCGGGAGUGCCUGAAGUGCGUGACCGCAAGGAGCGUCCUAAGGCAAUACCGGUGACUGGGCUAAGUCGUAACAAGGUAAC